UUGUUUGUCUUUGAACAAGGGACAGCUCGCGCCCAUCAUGUAAAUAUAUGAACUGCUCAUGCGUGCCUAAGAACCAAAACGGGUGGUAUUUAAAACGGUCACAGUGUAGUUUAUUAAAUAUAUAGGGAUUGCAUGCAGAAGGUCAUCUGAGAGGCGAUGAGAUAACUGAGAACUUAACCUAUAAAGUUACCGAAACAGACAUAGAAACAAAGACAUGCAAUGAGACAUGACAUGAGGUUACAAUCUAACCUGUGACACAUGCAUUGACAUAGAUAUAAUUUGAAACAGCUAGUGUCGCACUUACCUUAAAUUGUCGAGUUCAUUUGUAUUUAAUUAAGGGGAACAGCAAAAAUGGACGACCGAAUCACACUGUCCGAAUUUGUAUCAACUUGCAAGAGCUAAGCGAAAUGGAACAGAAUUUAAAAACGAGACUUAAAGCUGAAUAAGACAAGGAAAUGCAAUUCUGAACAGAUAUAUUGGACAGAUAGAAUAGCAUAUAAAUUGUACCAUAUGUUCCUUGAGCUGCUGUUUUUGACGAGACAAUGCAACAAUACUGUGGAUAGAUGUGGCAUAAUCUCCCUAUUCAAGCCAGCAUAGAUUUCUACACAAUCUAGGAAUAUAGUUCUAAAUCUAUCACUUCCUAAUUUUAUGCCGGUCCAGACAAGCUUAGUGCGGCUGUAGAGAGGGCCAAAAUAGGAGAUUGCGGGAGUUGUCGGGUCGAUGAGGAGAUUGUUCCCCGAAAAUGGGAGCUUCACUGACUGAAUAAUGAAAAUGACGCUUGUUUAAAAAUCAAGUCCUUUAUUUGAAAGCAAACACACAUCAAUAAAAACAAAGUACAAAAGAUGUUACAAAUACUUAAACUAAUUUGGGGAAAUUAGCAUACAACUCGCUUUUAAAAAUGCAUGUGAAAGGUUAACUGGUUGACAACAUUUCAUAUUACAAUUAGUUUAAUUUAAUAAUUGUUUGUUUAAUAACUUUAAUAAAAUGAACUUUAUAAAUACUUGCAAACAGAAAUAAGAUCUGUACAUUUCUAAGUGAGUUCAUAUUUUUAGACUUGUAAAUAAUUGAAUAACAUAAUUUCCACAUAAUACUUCUUAUUACAUGAAAAUAACUUCUAAAUGUUUUAAAAAUAAAUUCACAAAAUAUUAAAACUAUUAUAUUUAAAAGUACUUUGAUAAAAUAAAUUGAGUUAAACACAAGAAGUUAUAUAUAUAUAAAAACAAUGACAACAUACCUGAAUAAUGAAGCUGAAGCUUGUUUAAAAAUGAAGUCCUUUUAUAUGAUUUUCAGGACACAGGCUUCAUCUUAAAUACUAAGUUUUUAACAAUAUGAUACAGAUCUCAGAUUUGAUAAGCAUUAACUUGUCAGUACAAAAAUUCUAAAAUUGAAGCUAAGUAGCCUGAGGGAUUGUGCUACUGUUUUGAAGAAAAAUAUAUGAUAGGUUGACAUCAAUUAAUGUAAUAAAAGGAAACCACUUAGCCUAAGGUGGCCAAAUUAUUUACUUAAAAGUUGAGAAUCUCAAAAGAUAUUAAUUAUUAACUGCCAAAUAUAGUAUGUAUACAGGCUGCAGGCAUUAAUAUGUUUACAUGAUUUAUAGACAUGCAAAGUUCGAAAAGGAGUUUUUAAUCAUAAUAGUUAUUCUUAAACUAUAUCUAAAUAAGUAAUUCUGAGUUAUUUAACAAAAUACACAUAUUAUCCAAAUAAGAAUAAGUAUUUGUAAUUACAAUUAUCAUUUUUACAUAAAUUUAUAUUUAAUUUAUGUAGCAAAAAUGUGGGGCAUAAUACUAAUAUCACAAUUAAGAUUGUGAAAAUAACUAUGAUGACAUUCUACAAUUGCAGCUAAAUAUUUAUCCACAAUGUGUAUGGGAAAAAAUUGUUGCUGAAUUUGAUAAUAAGGCUGAUCACUUUAGUUACAUUGUUAAAUUACAACCUUUUGAUUAUAGUUGCUGAAAUUGAUGUUAAAAUUUCUUUGAUUAUAUAGUUUAAUAUAUGUGAUUAUUUUUUGUGGAUAAUAUUUGUUACCUUUCUCGAAGUAUGAUUACACCUUCUUAAGUAUGAACAGUCAUUGGCUUAUUGAGUGUUGUUGUGUCCUCAGUGACACUUCACAUUUCAUGAGAAACAUAAUAUUUCAGAAAUGUAAACUAAACAUGAACAAAUAUAAUAUCAUGUCUUGUACUUUAAUAUAAAUGGUUUAUGCUUUAAUAUAAAAUAGCUAUGUAAAACCACAACUUGCACUGUAUACUAUUUUGAGCACAAAUAUAUUUAUGUACCUAUAAACAAUUAUAACCCUUGACAUAGCACCAUUUAUUUAGUGAUAGGAAAAUCAAGGAGUAUUCCACACUGUACAUACAUAGGAAUACUAGAUGUACAAACAUAACAUGAAAGAAAAAUUAACCCUGUACUGAUUUAAGUGAUUUUAAAUCAAUACAUACACUUGUUUAACAAGCAUACUUUUUGAAUGAUAAACCUUAACAAUUUACUAAAUAAUGCAUUUAGGUUACGGAAAAUAUCAAUUACUUAUUACAAGAUUGUAACCAUGUAUUUAUUGGCUGAAAACGUGCAAACAUUAAAUGAUUGGUGAAUGCUAAAAGAUUUACAGUAAUCAACUAUCUUCUUAAGAUAGAAAUACCAUGUUCUUGUACCUUUCUUUGAAAUUCAGCAUGGUAUCCUUCAUUAUAUAAUAAUUAUAGAAUAAGACUUGUAUGACUUGCUCUUUCUGACUUUGUAAUUUGAACUAAAAUUGAACUGAAUUUUUAAAUAAAGAACAAUAAUAACCCUUUUUCAUACUGAUGUCUGAUUUUCAUUCCCUUCUCCAACUGCUUCACAUUUUGAAUAUCGAUCAAUUUCUUAUUUUUUUUACAAUUUAAGACUUUACUGUUUUACUGUCUAGACUGCAAAAUAAAUGUCUUGGUCAUUCUCAUAGUUUUAAAUUUUCAUUUAUAUAUUUUAAGGUCUGGCUGCAUUUGCCUUCUGUUGGUUCCAUCUCUGUCAAAUUCAUUAUGACUGUGUUUCCAUUUACAUUAAAACCAGCAUAAACAAAGUACUCCAAAUGUUGUUGGCAUGCUGAUCAGUUCCAAGUUUUCUUUCCCUCAUCUGUAGAAUGGAUGUGUUAAGAAUUUGAUAUUUACAGAUUAAAGUAAGUAUUUGUCCAAAUCUAGCUGUUGUUUAAUCGAUGCAGAUAGAUAACCAUUGAUGUUGGGAGUAGAGAUUAACCCCUUCCAAAAUGGUCACUACCGACACCAACACUAUUAUCAUUGACAUUUUCUUCUCCGAGGUCACUUCCAACACUGACAUACAUGUUUGUCUCCCAGGUCACUUCCAACACUGACAUGUUUGUCUCCGAGGUCACUUCCAACACUGAAAUACAUGUUUGUCAACCAGGUCAUUUCAAACACUGAUAUGUUUGUCAACCAGGUCAUUUCAAACACUGAUAUGUUUGUCUCCCAGGUCCCUACCAACACUGACAUGUUUGUCUCCCAGGUCACUUCCAACAAUGACAUGUUCUUCUCCCUGGUCACCAACACAGACAUGUUCAUCUCCCAUGUCACUUCCAACAAUGACAUGUUCUUCUCCCAGUUCACCAACACAGACAUGUUCAUCUCCCAUGUCACUUCCAACAAUGACAUGUUCUUCUCCCUGGUCAC